GAUUGUACCCACUAUGCUUAGCCCUAAACCUAAAUAAUUAUCGCAACAAAUUAUUCGCCAGAGUACUACUAGCUAUAGCCUAAAACUCAAAGGACUUGGCGGUGCUUUAUAUCCCUCUAGAGGAGCCUGUCCUGUAAUCGAUAGACCCCGAUAAACCCCACCAACUCUUGCUAAUUCAGCCUAUAUACCGCCAUCCUCAGCAAACCCUAAAAAGGAACCACAGUAAGCGUAAGCAUAAGACAUAAAAACGUUAGGUCAAGGUGUAGCCCAUGAGUUGGAAAGAGAUGGGCUACAUUUUCUUGCCAAAGAACACCCAACAAUCACACGGACCCCCUCAUGAAAUAGAGGGCCAAAGGUGGAUUUAGUAGUAAACCAAGAAUAGAGAGCUUGGUUGAAUUAGGCCAUGAAGCACGCACACACCGCACGUUCAC
rnacentral:rRNA from 1 species